rnacentral:rRNA from 1 species
GAUGAACGCUGGCGGCGUGCCUAAUACAUGCAAGUCGAGCGAACGGACGAGAAGCUUGCUUCUCUGAUGUUAGCGGCGGACGGGUGAGUAACACGUGGAUAACCUACCUAUAAGACUGGGAUAACUUCGGGAAACCGGAGCUAAUACCGGAUAAUAUUUUGAACCGCAUGGUUCAAAAGUGAAAGACGGUCUUGCUGUCACUUAUAGAUGGAUCCGCGCUGCAUUAGCUAGUUGGUAAGGCAACGGCUUACCAAGGCAACGAUGCAUAGCCGACCUGAGAGGGUGAUCGGCCACACUGGAACUGAGACACGGUCCAGACUCCUACGGGAGGCAGCAGUAGGGAAUCUUCCGCAAUGGGCGAAAGCCUGACGAAGCAACGCCGCGUGAGUGAUGAAGGUCUUCGGAUCGUAAAACUCUGUUAUUAGGGAAGAACAUAUGUGUAAGUAACUGUGCACAUCUUGACGGUACCUAAUCAGAAAGCCACGGCUAACUACGUG